GACGGAGGAUGCAAGCGUUAUCCGGAAUGAUUGGGCGUAAAGCGUCUGUAGGUGGUUUAUUAAGUCUACUGUUAAAUAUCAGGGCUUAACCCUGAAUCGGCAGUAGAAACUCAUAAGCUUGAGUACGGUAGGGGCAGAGGGAAUUCCCGGUGUAGCGGUGAAAUGCGUAGAGAUCGGGAAGAACACCGAUGGCGAAAGCACUCUGCUGGGCCGAAACUGACACUGAGAGACGAAAGCUAGGGGAGCAAAUGGG
rnacentral:rRNA from 1 species